CCACUGUACCGUCCGCUCUCCAGCCUCAGGUUUGGUGGCUCCCUUCCGGCUCCAGUGGAACCUGCCCUUGCAGAGCCCUGAACACACAGCAUGGCUUCAGACAGCCUCACCUUGUACCUGCUACCGGCUCUCCUUGGACUGUCACUCUACCCACCCCUACUCCACGAUUGCGUGAUAAACCCCUAUUCAGCCUUCAGAGCCCGCUUUACAGAGUCCCACUGUGUAGUCCAGGCUGGCCACAGACUAGAGGCGCUCCUCCUGCUUCUCUGAGGCUUCGAUCACAGACCCUGGGGAGAGGUGUGACAUCAACACCAGACAGAAGGAUCCGCGGUCAAAAGAAAUCUUGGGGAGCGGCGAAGGCCAGAGAGAGGCAGCGAGACGGCUCCGCGGUGGAGCCAGACUGAGUUUCGACCCCGGGGCAGGACGAAGGCAGGCCUUUCCUCCCACUGCCUGGUUACUGCCGCCACGACAGACCCUUCGGG
rnacentral:lncRNA from 1 species